rnacentral:misc_RNA from 1 species
GAUGAAGAACGUAGCGAAAUGCGAUACUUGGUGGGAAUUGCAGAAUCCCGUGAACCAUCGAGUCUUUGAACGCAAGUUGCGCCCGAAGCCACUAGGCCGAGGGCACGCCUGCCUGGGCGUCACACGCCGUUGCCCCCCCAUCUACUCCUUCGGGAUUGCGGGGGGGCGGAUGAUGGCCUCCUGUGCGCCUAGCCGCGCGGUUGGCAUAAAUACCAAGUCCUCGGCGACGCACGCCACGACAAUCGGUGGUUGCGAAACCUCGGUUGCCCGUCGUGUGCGUUCGUCGCGCAUCGAGGGCUCGAAAAAAUGCUCGGCUCCGGCUGGGCUUUCAACGCGACCCCAGGUCAGGCGGGGUUACCCGCUGAAUUUAAGCAUAUCAAUAAGCGGAGGA